rnacentral:rRNA from 1 species
CACGUAGGGCGCAAGCGUUGUCCGGAAUUAUUGGGCGUAAAGAGCUCGUAGGCAGUCUGUCGCGUCCGCUGUGAAAACUCGGGGCUUAACCCCGAGCCUGCAGUGGAUACGGGCAGACUAGAGGUAGGUAGGGGAGAAUGGAAUUCCCGGUGUAGCGGUGAAAUGCGCAGAUAUCGGGAGGAACACCGGUGGCGAAGGCGGUUCUCUGGGCCUUACCUGACGCUGAGGAGCGAAAGCGUGGGGAGCGAACAGG